rnacentral:lncRNA from 1 species
GUAGCAGAACUCCAUGUUCUAAUAGCCCCGGCAAAGUUGUUUUUAAUACUUUUUCUCUACGAAUUUUCAUUAAAAUUUAAUUCCAUUUUAACUUUGUCAAUUUUCCCCAAAGAUAAAUUAAGACACACAGAGAGAUUGUCAUUUCCUGUUUGAAGUCUCAUUCCUGUGUACAAUGUCAGUCUUUUUUAUUUAGGCCUAUGCCAUUCCAUCAGGGUAAAUAACUUUCUAACUAGUCAUUUAAGAGCAACUCCCGGGAAACUGUGAUGCAAUCCCACAUAUCAGCCAGACUUCAAAAGCUGCCAGAUUAUUGUGAAAGGAGAAACACUGUUUUCGAAGGCUGCUGAUAAUGCCUAUUAGCCAGAAGAAAGAGCCUGAAUCAUUCAAAGGUUUUCCAUCUAGUAAAGAAGUGUGGUAAAAAUCUUGCCCAGAUCUGCAUGUGCUAAGCAUCUACGUAAGUUGGAGCAUCAUAUUAAUGACACCCAGUGAAGAAACGAAAGAAUGAAGUGUAAUUACUAUAUCAAAAAUCCACAGAAUGUGAAAGUAUAAAGGAAAACUCUCAGGUGAGACUCGAUUAUUUUUAUUUCAAAGAUCUAGGUAAAAAUGUGAACAGAUUGGGAGGCUGAGGCAGGAGAAUCACUUGAACCCAGGAGGCAGAAGUUGCAGUGAGCCAAGAUUGCACCAUUGGACUCCAGCCUGGGCAACAGACAAGACUCUAUCUCAAAAAAAAAAUGUGAACAGAUAUAUUGACAUAAAAUUCAUAAAACAUAUGGAUAUACUAAAAACUAGGAAGUCUGGUUGCUUCUGAGGAUAAGAGUUGAGGACCUGUUUCAAGAAUACUUUGCACAGCUUGUACUAUUGCAGUAUUUGAAUUUUUUCUUGUACAUGUAUAACUUUUUUAAAAAGAAUGAGAAAUGCUGUACAAGUGCAACUAUUUUUACUGUAAGUUUUUAUUUCCAUAAAACUAUAAUUAAGUGUGUGGUCAAUAGAUCCUGUUAUAUAGCUAUGAUAUCCCUUGAAUUUGUUUACCUGGUAACACUAGCUCACGUUUGUAAAUCCUUUGGAACUCCCAAAGCGAUUUUACAUACAUUACCUAAUUUGUAAGAUUACAAAACUAUUACAUUAGCUUUUCUGGUUUUCUUGUCUUAAUACGUGAUUAUCAUAUUAAACUGCAGUGUUUUUUUUUUUCCAUCAAGUCACACACACAAAACAGGAAACCAGCAGUUGUAAUUUCUUCAGCAAUUCUUAAUGUAAGUUUUUAAUAGUUUAGUACUUUUCUUUCAUAAGUAUUGGACCAAGCUGUAAUGGAAUUAUACGACUCAUGCUUUCAGAACAGAGCCUUCUGUUACUCGUGUUUUUAUCCUGAUGGCCAUAUGACCAUGUGAAGUUCCAUCAUGAUUCUGUUGGAUGUUACCUUUGUCUUAUCCACUGAACUCAAGCCAGGGUGUUGGAGAAUUCAAUAGCUGAGUCUGAGGGUAAAUUAAAAUACCAGUCAAAAUUAAAUGGACUGUGUGAAACAGGAGUGAGCUUACAGGUUAUUAUGAGAUUUGUCCUGCCCAGUUUAAUACAACCCCUUCUCUGCUGAAGGGUAAGUAGGAAGGCUUUUCAUACAAAUAGAAGACCAGGUCAAAAAAAAAUCCACUCCUUUUCCUUCUGCUUGGCUUACUGGACUUGUAGGCAGACCUAGUUUUCCUACUGUAUUAAUGGCUAUGGAGCUGAAUUUCUUUGCAAUAGAAGUUGUUAUUUGAGUUUAGCAACAUUGAUAAAAUUGGCUCAUCAAACCGUUUUAUAUUGAAAAGGGCUUCAUGGACAGUGACCUGCUGUGAGUUGGCUGACAGCUGAAAUGAUGAACAAUACUGUUUAGUUCUGCCCAUCGUGCCUGCCAGAGACUAAGAAUAACUUGACCACUGCUCAGCUAAAAACUUUGGAGUUAGACAUAUGGACAGCCCACCCCAAGGGAAGAAUCAGAGGAGAAGGGACACAAGACCCCAGAAACACACAAAGCACCUUAAUAUGCAUGCUGCAUCUCUCUAAAAUUGUGGAACCUGUUUACCUGCUCUGGAGAAUGGCUGCCUGUGGCAGACAUAGGAGUUGUCCUCAUGCUGUGCUUCCUAUCUUCCACAGUAAUUGACUUGUAGCUGCAAUACAGUUACCAACCAGGAAUACAAUUUCUCAGCCCCAUGUCUUGCACCUACAGCUAAGUGUGGCCAUGUGACCAGUUUUCACCAAUUAAGUGUGAAUAGCAACAAAGUGCACCACCUUCAAUUGGAGGCUUUGAAGAAGCAGGGCAGCCUUCCCUUGCUCUCUUUCCCCUUGUUCUGGUGGGAUACAGAUGACAAUAAGGCCCUGGGUUUUGAGGUAGCCACAAGAUGCAAAAUACCUCAGACCUGAGUCACCACAAGGAAGAGAGAAGCCCACUGACAUGGAAUACCCAGCCUAGUCUACAGAUGAAUAAGAAAUAAACUUCUAUUAUGUUCGAACAUUACAGAUUUUGUUCUGUUAUAGCAGUUUAUCUCACCCUGACUAAACUGUUGCCUAUCUUCCAAGAUAGGCCCUCCUUCCCUGAAAGUGACUUUUUCAUACAUGUAAUCUGUAUUUUAAUUCAUAUUCUCCAAAGCAUAUCCACAUCUAUUCAACUAUUUUCAUGUCUUCCAUCAAUAAAAACCUCAUAUAAAUAUAUACGAGGUUUUUUUUUUUUUUUUUAAGACACUUUGGAGUUAUCCUUGACCCUGUCCUCUUUUCUCAUACCCAUAUACGAACCAUUAAGAAAUCUUGUUGCCUCAACCUUCAAAAUCUAUCCAGGAUUUAACCACUAAUCAACCCCUUCUCCUCUGUCAGUCUGUCCUCCUAGAUUUCAUCUUGACCAUCCUUAGAAACUCCUAACCAGUCUUAUUGCUUUCGCCAUUGUACAUCCAGACUAUUCUCAAAUGGCAACCAAUGAGAUCGUGCUGCACUUCUGCUCAAAACCUGCAAAUGGCUUCCUACCUCACUUAGGGUAAAACCAAAUGGGGCCUGCACAAUCUGGCUUCACCUCCUAGUGCUUUCCUCCUUGCUCAUUCAGCCCAGCCACACUGCUCUUCUUGCUUUUCCAUGAACAUGCUAGACACACUCUCACGUUUGGGCUUUUGCACUUGUUUCCCUUCCCAGAAUGCUCUCCUCGUGGAUACGCACAUAUCCAGCCCCUUAUCUCCUUCAAAUUUUAGUUCAAAUGCCACUUUCUCAAUGAGGGUUUUCUAACCAGCCUAUUUAAACUUACAGUCUCCCAUUGUCUAAAGCCUUGUCUCCCUUCCUGCUUUACUUUUCUUCAUAGUAAUUACCACCAUCUGACUUAUAUUUGCUUGCCUUUCUUGUUGAUUUUCUGUUUUACCCACUCAAAUGUAGUCCAUAAGGGAAGGGAUUGUUGUUUCAUUUGUUCACUUCUCUAUCCCCUGGGCCUGAGCCUGGCUUUGGGUAGGCACUCAGUUAAUGUUUGUGUAAAUUAAUAAAUGAAUGAAUGACAUUUACUACCUUAUAUGGUACUAUAAUAUAAAAGCAUAUGAUGCAGAGAAUUAGGAAUCUAGAAACUAGUUUUGACUCAGCAUCCUAUGUACAAGGUUAUGUAGACAAGUCAUUUCACCUCUCUGAGCCUCAUUUUUCUAAUAUUUAAAAUCUACCCUCCAGAGCUGUAAAGUGUUCAAAUAUAGAUUAUCUUAUGGAGUGCAGUCUCAUGCUUGCACAAUGAAAGAAGUUAAUUUCUACAUACCUUCCAUGUACCCACAAUCAAUGGUUUAUGUAAACCUCACCUCAGGAAAAUUAAGUUCUGUAUGAGCAGAUUUUUUUUUAAAUUGCCACUGAAAUAAAUACCAAAUUAAGCCAAAUAAAUACCAAAACAGACUUUGCAUUUUUCAUCUUUAGCCAAGCUCCUCUGGUUUGCAUACUCAUAAUAUAAUUCAAAUGACCAUUUUUGGAGUUUUGAUUUUUAGUGCUCUUUUUCUCUGCUAGGAGAAAUGAAUAUCUGAUGCUUUGUUUUUCCAAAUUGUUGUAUGAAAACUGAGUAAUGCUAUAAAGCUUUUUAAAUAUUUUAGAGGUAUAGCAAGUGAACUAUUUUAUAAGUUUCUGGGAUUUUUGAAAAUAUUUUUUAUUUUUAAUUUUUACUGAGACAGGGUCUUGCUCUGUUGCCCAGGCUGGAGUGCAGUGGUGUGAUCUCAGCUCACUGCAGCCUCUGCUGCCCAGGUUCAAGCGAUUCUCAUGCCUCAGCCUCCCAAGUAGCUGGGACUACAGUCCUGUGCCACCAUGCCUGACUAAUUUUUUUUGUAUUUUUAGUAGAGAUACGGUUUCGCCAUGUUGGCCAGUCUGGUCUCGAACUCCUGACCUCAAGUGACCUGCCCACCUCAGCCUCCCAAAGGGCUGGGAUUACAGGCAUGAGCCACUGCACCCAGCCUGAACAUAUUUUUUAUGUUCAAUAUAAUGUUGACUACCUAGUAAAGUCAUAUUUGUUCAAAUUCCCCUGAUUUAUUUUCUAAUGAAUACCUCGAUAUUUCUCUUAUAUGCUGGUCACUUAUCAAAUGAUUCCCAGUGAACACUUUUGAUUGAUUAAUGUAUAACUUGAUCAGGUACUGAAUUUGCAUUUGCUUAGUAAGGCCCACCUUGAAAAAUAGUGCAAAUAAUUUAUUCAGGUCAGAUAGGGAGAAAGAAAUCAUAAAAAUACUAAACCAAACAAACUUUAGAAGUGGCUGUUAAUAGAUAAGAUUUUCAAGGCCCAUGAUAAAGGGAUUCUAGUUCUAGAUCUGCUUUCCAUAUUCUUCAAUUCCAAGGGACAUCUUCAGCGUAGCUCCUGACUGGCCUGGCUAACGCUUCGUGCAUCCUUUCUUGAGCUUUGAAGUUUGUCCUGUUUGCCCCUCAAUCCUCAUAAGGUCUCCUUGUGCAUGUGCCCCUCCCUGAGUUUGUGUGUGAGUUGCUGUCUCAUUCCUGGUCUAUGUUCCCUAUGUUUUUAUUUCCUAUCUUUUAGUAUGUAAGUAGGUAGAUAGACAGAUUGACUGAUGAUUGAUUGAUAGAAAUAGAUAUAUAAUUUAUUUUCCCAUGGGUAGAUCUUUAAGGUUUUCAGGCAUGGGAGUAAGAUAACCACCCUAUCCCUCUGUGUGGUGGAAUAGGGUAGAGUAUGGCUGUGGCCAGAGAGACAACAGAACAGUGUAAGAAAGUGUAAAAGUCUUGAACUAUAGCAUAGAUACGCAAGAAAUAAAUGAAAAUGCUGCUGUUUAAUGUGCUGUUUGCAAUUUUUAAAAGUCUAUCAGUGGGAGAAUUGAAUAGGUAAAUAAAGUUUUCAUUGUUAACUUUGUAACAAUAAGUUUCUGAUAAUCUGUAACACAACAAUAAAGUAAGAAAGCUCAAAAGUAUUCUCAAAUUUCCCCAUCAGGGAAUAAUUUCUUCCUGAAUAUCACUCACAGCUCCCUGGAAUAAUAAUACAGUAUAACCUUUUUAUUCAAUUGACACCUAUGAGCCAAUUUCUAUUGUUUCUCAACCAACCCUCCUACUCUUCACCAGUCUGUGUUGGGGCCAUAUCUAUGUAUUCACAUACAUAGUAUUCUUUUCUUACAUCUAUCCUAGAAUAUGUAUGUAUAACACCAUAAUACAAGUCAACUGUCUCUUAUCUGCAACCACAAAUCCAUAAAGCUCUGAAAACCAGAAGUUUGUUUUAUGAUUGGUACCAAAAUUUAUUUUGUGCAAAACCUGGCUUGAACAGACAUGAGGCUUGCUAGCUGAUAUGCCCCACUAGAUGGUGAGCUUUAUGGAGGCAGUCUUGAUUCCUCCUGUCUGCCUGGUAUCUAGUGAAUCUCAACAAAUAUCAAAUAUUUGGAAUAAGCAAAUGAAUAUUUUCUAUCAAUUUAAUAUAUUUGAAUUUAUUAGUCUUCCUCUGUUGUUCUUAUUUGUUUUUUGAGACGGAAUCUCACUCUGUCACCCAGGCUGAAGUGCAAUGGCAUGACCACAGCUCACCGCAGCCUCAAACUCCCAGGCUCCAACAAUCCUCCUGCCUCAGCCUCUUGAGUAGCUGAGACUACAGGCACACACCACUGCACUCAGCUAAUUUUUGUGUUUUUUUGUAGAGAUGGGGUUUCGCCAUGUUGGCCAGGCUGGUCUUGAACUUGGCUCAAGGGAACCACCCACCUCAGCCUCCCUAAGUGUUGGGAUUACAGACAUGAGCCACUGCGCCUGGCCUCUGUUCUUAUUUUUUAAAUGUUAAAACUUUGAGAAAACAAGAGUUAGGGCUAAUAAGUGCUUUUCAAAAAUUUAUUUUUAAACUGAAAAUAUAAACAUUUGGUCAGAUUGAAAAAUCAAUGAUGGAACCAAGAAUAAUAUAGUGUUUCCUGAGUUUUAGAUUAGUAUUUUCUUACCUAGAUAAGACUAGUAUUAUGAAUGCCAGAUAAUUCCAAGGCCAAGAAAAACAACUUUCUUUAAAAUCUAUUAAAAUGUUAUGAGUGAAAAUGAUGAAAAUAACGUUAUUUUACUCCUGUGCCUGAAAACACUUAAGGGGUCCCCACUGGGGAAAAAUAUGAAUCAAUAUCUACAUAUGUAUAUAUUUACUUAUACAUAUAUUAUACCACUAAAAAAUCAGAAAUAAGAAGGUAGGGCAGAUAGAUCAAGAAUGACAUAGCAACUUACAUACGAACUUAGGUAGGAGAACUUGUAAAUGUAUUUUGAAUAUUUGAUGCUUCUCCAGAUUCUUUCACCUUUUCUUUAUACAUGCUUUUAUGUGGGUUCACAUAUAUAAAAAUUAUGUAUAUUGUAUACAAGUUUGUAUUUUUUUCUACAUUUUGAGGAAAUUUUGAGGAAGCAAACUUCUGCUUUAUGAAACAUCCACUCAUGACAUCAAUAAUUGCCAAGUAGAAUCUUUUUCAUAAAACACUCAUGACCUAAAUUGAAAAACAUAAAAGUUUUAUUGAAGUUACAAAUGUCAGGACACAAGUACUGUUAUCAAAUAUUAGAAUUAUGAUAUACCAUAACAUCUAUUAUUCUGCCUUGCAUUAUCAUUCUAAAUUUUGUAAAUAUUUGUUGGGUCAUAAAGAAAUAAAUUUCUCUUUGAGCCAUCUAACUUACUUCCUUCUAAUAUCCAAUUUAUUGAAUAGGAUGCCAUUCUAUUUCCUCCGAUGAAUUUUCAUCUGAUGUCCAUUUGCAGUUCACCCUUAAACAACAUGGAUUUGAACCGCAUGGGUCUAUUUAUACGUGAAUUUUUUUUAGUAAAUAUAUUGAAAAAUUUUUUGGAGAUUUGCAACAACUUGAAAAAACUUGCAGACAAACUGCAUAGCAUAGAAAUACUUUCGAAAAUUUUUUUUUGGCCGAGCGCGGUGGCUCAGGCCUGUAAUCCCAGCACUUUGGGAGGUCGAGGCGGGCAGAUCACCUGAGCUCGGGAGUUUGAGACAAGCCUGGCCAACAUGGUGAAACCCCGUCUCUACUAAAAAUACAAAAAUUUACCGGGCAUGGUGGUGGGCGCCUGUAGUUCCACCUACUCGGGAGGCUGAGGCACGAGAAUCACUUGAACCCGGGAGGCGGAGGUUGCAGUGAGCCGAAAUAGCACCACUGCACUCCAGCCUGGGUGACACAGCCAGAUUCCGUCUCAAUAAAUAAAUAAAUAAAUAAAUAAAUAAAUAAAUAAAUAAAUUUUAAAGUUAGGGCCAGGCACGGUGCUUCACACUUACAAUCCCAGCACUUUGGGAGGCUGAAGCGGAAGGAUCAUUUGAGCCCAGGAGUUUGAGACCAGGAGUUUGAGACCAGGAGUUUGAGACCAACCUGAGCAACAUAGUGGUACCCCAUUGCUACAAAAAAAUAAAAAGUAAAAAGUUAGCAAGCUGUGGUGGCACUCCUGAAGUCCCAGCUCCUCAGGAGUGGGAGGAUCACUUGAGCCUGGAAGGUUGAGGCUGCAGUGAUCCUUGAUCGCAAACACUGUGCUCUAGCCUGGGUGACAGAAUGAGACCCUGUCUCAAAAAAAAAAAAAAAAGAAAAAAGAAAAAAAGAAAAGAAAAGAAAAAAAUAGGAAUAGAAAAAGUUGGGUAUGUCAUGAGUGCAUAAAUACAUAAAUAUGUGUAGCCACUAAUCUAUUUUAUCAUUUACUGCCAUGAAAUACUUGAGUCGGCCAAACCAACCCCUUCUCUUCCUCUUCCUCUUCAGCCUACUCAACAUGAAGACAAUGAGAAUUAAGACUUUAUUAUUAUCCACUUCCACUUAAUGAAUAGUAAAUAUAUUUUUUCUUAUGAUUUUCAUAAUAUUUUACUUUCUCUAGCUUACUUUAUUGUAAGAAUACAGUAUAUAAUACAUGCAAUAUACAAAAUAUGUGUUAAUUAACUGUUUAUGUCAUUGGUAAGGCUUCUGGUCAACAGUAGCCUACUAGUAGUUAAUUUUGGGCGGAUCUAAAAGUUAUACAUGGGUAAUUGACCAUGUAGAAGUCGGCACACCUAACACCCAUGUUAUUCAAAGGAUUCAUGGGUCAACUGUAUUUCACUAUUUUUAUCUAUUUGUAAAUUAUUAAUAAUUGCUUUAUGUAUAAAAACAACAGCUGUCUCAUCAUCAUUAUAAUGUCAAUUGUUCCAUCCUUAUACUAUUAAUAUGAUAAAUAUACAUUUAUACUUCAAAUGACAGAAAAGUAGGCAUUAAUCAGCAAAGCAGUUCAGGAAAAUUAAUCUGGCAGGACUGAAUAAAAUGGGCUUGAAGAAAGUAGGCUUAAAGCAGAAAUAUAUUGGCUAGGACUCCAUUGCCAUUAUCUAAACAAGAAUUAAUGAGUUUCCUAACUGGGAAUGAAAUAGAAGAAAUGGAAAGAAGGGACAGUUUUAAAAUGUAAUGAAGGGAAAAUUGAUGCAAUUGGAUAACUGGUUGAAUAUAAGAAGCAAGACAGACUAUCAUAAUUGUUAGAUAUUUCAGAUAAUGUGGGCAUGAAAGAAAGAGAUGCCAAGAUGGUAGUAGGUAGUAGAGAGAAGGCCAAGGAAAUACUUGUAUUUCCUGAAGUUGGGAAAUACUUAUACUUGAAGAGUGUAGAAAGGAAGGAAUCAGCAGAGAGAGCUAAGGAGAAGCAAAAGAACAAUUUCACAAAAACAUGGAUUUAAAGAAGUAGUGGGCAGCAAUAUUCAGUGCCGCAGAAAAGGCUCUAGAUUUUAUGAGUAGGAAGUCUCGUGACCUUUAAGAGCACAGGGUUCCAUAGAAGGGUGAGGACAGAAACGAAAUUUGAAAGGAUUAAGGAAUGAGUGAAGUAUAAGAAAAUGUGACAGUAUUUUUUCAAAAUGAAUAAUCAAGCAAUGAAACAUGGAGGAACCUCAAAUGCAUGCCACUAAGUAAAAGAAGCCAGUGUGAAAAGGCUGCAUGACUGUAUGAUUCGAGCUACAUGGCAUUCUGGAAAGGGCAAGCCAUGGAGACAAUGAAAAGAUCAACGGCUGCCAGGGAUUGCAGGGAGGAAAGGAUAAACAGGCAGAGCACAUCAAAUUUUUAGGGCAGGGAAACUAGUCUGUAUUAUACUAUAAUGGUGGGUACAUGUCAUUAUGCAUUUGUCAAAACCUGUAAAAUGUACACCAAAAGUCAACUCUAAUGUACAUUAUGGACUGAGUGAUUAUGAUGUGUCAGUGUAGUUCAUUGGUUGGAACAAAUGUACUCUGGUGGGAGACGUUAAUAGUAGAUGUUGGCCGGGCAUGGUGGCUCACGCCUGUAAUCCCAGAAUUUUGGGAGGCCGAGGAGGGUGGAUCACGAGGUCAGGAGUUCAAGAGCAGCCUGGCCAAGAUGGUGAAACCCUGUCUCUACUAAAAAUACAAAAAUUAGCCCAGCAUGGUAGCAGGCGCCUGUAAUCCCAGCUACUUGGGAGGCUGAGGCAGAGAAUCACUUGAACCCGGGAGGCAGAGGUUGAGUGAGCCGAGAUCACGCCAUUGCACUCCAGCCUGGCAAUAGAGUGAGACUCCAUCUCUAAAUAAAUAAAUAAAUAAAUAAAUAAAUAAAUAAAUAAAUAAAUAAAAUGAAGUCAAUUUUAAAAGAAUGUAUAACCAUUUUUAUUAAUAUAAACUUCUGUGUUACAUACAUGUAUUACUUUUAUUGUAUCAUUUUAUAGCCCUUAAAAAUUUCAACAAAAUGUAAAAAUGUAUUUUUGUGACCAAUGAAAUAAGUGGAGUAAAGUGAUAUUGUUCAGCUAAAUAUAUGAUAGAUAUAAGAAUUUAGUUACAUUUCUGGAAUGACAGAGUGGUGAUGAAUUUUAUAGCAUUAUGACGUAAGUAAGAAAUGUUAGGUCUGUCUUCGGAUGUCUAUUGUAUGUUCCAGUUAUUUAUUGCUGUGUGUAACACACCACACCAAAACUUAGUAGCUUAAAACAGUCAUUUAUUGUUAUGUUCCAUUUUUCUGGGGGUUGACGAAGCUGAGCGUUACUCACUUUUGUGUCCUUCAAAUGGUUGCAGAAAUAUGACAGAUGAGGCUGGAAUUCUGAAAGCUUCUUUACUCACAUGCCUGGCUCCUAGACUAGAAUAGCUAGAAUACCUGUGGGCUGGUCAGGAUUUCUCCCUCUUUUGUCUCUCCACAUAGCCAUAGUGUGGCUUGGGUUUCAAACAGCGUGGCAUUUCAAGACCAGGAAUUCCAGGAGACCCAGGUAGAAGCUUCAAAGUGUGGGAAGUGUUGGAAGUCAUACAGCGUCACUUCCACUAUAUUCUAUUUGGCAAAUCUGUCACAAAUGAGCCCAGAUUCAAGGGAGUAGAGCAAUAGAUAGAUACAGGGAGGAGAGAAAUUGAUGGUAGCCAACUGAAAACAAGAAACAAGCUACCACAAUCUAUUUAGGGGAUAUUUAUAAAAACAUAGAGACACACAUGCACAAACAACACACACGUACACACAUACAUGCAGAUAAAUACAUUUUUAUGAAAAAAUUAAGAAUUAUUAUGAAUGUUCAAGUAUACAAUAAUAUGCAAAGGGAAAACCUUAAUAAUUAAAGUAGGAAAUGAGACUAACUCUGAGAAGAGUAAUCAAAGACAUUGUAUUUUUUUUUCAG